AUGAAGAAUCCACUUACUGAAAAGUGCAGCCACUGGUUGAAUUUUCAGCAAAAAAAGAUUAAGCAGAGAAUGGAGAGGAAGGUUGACUCCAGGUCUUUUAGGGACAGUGCAGUAAAGAAGCCUUAUUCUCCAAAGAUACUGUCCACAAAGAAAUCCUCUGCAUUCUCUGGGAGCCGGAGUGAGGGAUCUAGGGCCAGUCAGCCAGUGAAAUACCAUCCCUCCCAGGCCCGGGCCCGAAGGGACCGGCUAAGAGAACUGCGUGUCAGGUCAGGGUGCAGAGGCAAAGACAGGCCCCCUGCGAGCGGU
rnacentral:lncRNA from 1 species